GGGAUGCAGUCUGGGACACGUAGUUGCAAACCUAGCGACUUUGUUGUUAGAUUCAAUGACUUUUCAGACCCCCUAACGACUUUUUUUUUAGAAAGAAAGUGACUUUUAUCGACUUCUUCUGGAGUUUAGAGACUCUGACAUGAAGCAGGCUUUCCUUACUGAGGAGUUAGCAACGCUGCUAAGGGUGCAGAGCCACACAUGCGCUCCGAGCUCUGCAUGGGAGACUGAAGCUGACAGAGCUGCAGCAGUUAGCAGGUUUCACCCUCAGAGACCACCAGGGGUUCAUGUUGAGGCAUUUUCAGUUUUUUUUUUUUUUUUUGCCAUAGACACUGUCAGCACAAUCUGCAGUUACACUAACAAAAAUGCUGCAAAAAACAAAGAAUUAUGGAAAAAUUACACAUGGACUAACAUAGAGGAGGAUCUACACAAGUUUUUUACAUCAUGUUUUACAUCAUGCAUCAUUUACAUCAUGUUUUUUUGUAGUGGCAUGAAUAAAAAGUGACAUUUGUGAGACUAUACAGUGUUUUGUAAAUAAUUUUACAAAGAACACCUGGGCCAUUGCCUGCAUUUUGAUGUAAAUAGAGGUAAAUUACUAUGUUCUUUGUUAAAACUUUGCAUAUGUUUUGAAGUUUACAAUUUUUAUUUGAAGUUUAAGUUCUUAAAACAGUUCAUCACACAUAUUUGUGGUUUUCACAGUAAAAACGUUACUUUUUUCCACUCGGAUUUUAUGUUUUGUGUGUGAAUUUGGGUCCAAUGUGUAAAUAUAGUAUGUCAAAAUGAUAAAAUAACUGUAAAUUGACACAGGUGAGGUUGUGCUGAAAAAAAUGAUACCAGGCAAGGCAAGGUAAAUAUUUUGUAAGAGGAAAUAUAAAGGUAAAAUCUAAAGUAGUCAAAAACGGCCAAUAGUGACUCACAGACUCCACAGACAAGUCCCUUUGGCGCCACUCAGUGGGCAAAACUACUUUGUCUACUGUAAUGUAUAUUUGGGUCAUCUUUGGCGCCCCCUAAAACGUAAACCGUGGGGUGCAGCGUCAUGAUUUUUACAACUUUGAAUGGCCAUGGAGUGUAGAUUGGCCUGAGCAAAUUUGGUGUCAGUGGGACGAAAGCCUUAGGAGGAGUUAGCGAAAUUCCAAUGUGUGCGAAUCGGCAAAAAAUGCAAAAUAGCCCUUUUACCGUACAUUAUACAGAUACGCGCUCUUUGACUUUUUCGUAGAUCUAAUUGAGAUACACAUGAUUGUCAAUUUUUGUGUCAUUUUGCCAAAGCGUACAGGCGUGACAGUCAACAAUGUGUAUUUUCACCUUAGGGGACAAGAAAAAAUGGACUUUUUUCUCCUGCCAUGGGGGGCGCUCUUUUAGGGAGUAAAAAUUCCUUCACAAAUGUGUUGAUGGCUGGACAUUGCAUCAUCCUAGAAAACUUGGAGGCCAGUGAGGACAAAAAUAAAAAGUUAUAAGACUUUUAAAAAUGUGGAUUUUUGGGUUAUCUUUGGCGCCCCCUAGAACGAAAACCGUGGGGUGCAGCGUCAUGAUUUGAAUAACUUUUAAUGGCCAUGGGGUGUAGAUUGGCCUGAGCAAAUGUGGUGCCGGUGGAACGAAAGCCUUCGGAGGAGUUAGCGAAAUUCCAAUGUGUGCGAAUCGGCAAAAAAUGCGGAAUAACCCUUUAACCGUACAUUUGACAGAUACGCGUGCAUUGACUUUUUUGUAGAUCUUAUUGAGAUACAUGUGUGUGUCAAUUUUUGUGUCAUUUUGACAAAGCGUACAGGCGUGACACUCAACAAUGUGUAUUUUCACCUUAUGGGACAAGAAAA